AGCCCUGUAUAAACAGGCCCAGGGGUGGCUGCGUUCCAUCUGAAGUGACUCCUGGGUGUUUAGAUACAUUGGGAGCAGGGUCAUAGAGGCACACAUGUGAAAUCCAUCCUCCUGGUCUUUAGGGAGCUCCCCCACCAUGGCAGCAUCCCGGCACCUCGCCCACCUCAGAGGGAUCCUGAGCCUCCUUUCACAGGCAAAGAAACUAAGGCACAGAGAAAUUCAACACGUGGCCAAGCUUCAGUGCCAGGGUGUAGGGCCACGGCCACAUGGAACAAAGGUGAUCGUGUCAGGUGAGUUUUGCAGCGAGGAUGGAGACAAGGAGCUAGAUGGACUCUGGUCCACCAUUUCGGUCUUCGUCACCCUCUUCCUCUUGAGUGUGUGCUACAGUGCCACCGUGACCCUGUUCAAGGUGAAGUGGCUGUUCUCCACCGUGGUGCAGCUGAAGGAGGCGAGUGGCCCCGAGUACAAGAACGUGAUCCAGCGCGUGGUGUAGGGGCCGCUGCCCCCGUCCACCCGGAGACAAGGGGCCGGGACUCCCGGCUCUAUUGGUGACACCACCCUGAGUCCCACAGCUGCCCCCCGCUAGCGCUGUGCCCCUGGGAGACCCCCCUGGGGGGAGCGAGGAGCUCACCCCACAUGGCCUAAUCCGCCCUCAGCCACUGGGGACGCUGCCCUGCUGGGAGCUGGGCUGAGACCGGACAACUCGCUUCAGGCAGGGAACCAGCACCCCUAGCGCGGAAACAACCCGAGUCCCACUUCCCACCCUCCUGAACCCAACAGCCCCCUGCUCUGGGACUGGAUCAGAGCCAGCGCCCCCUAGAGCGGAAAGGCCCCAUAUCCCCUUCCCCACCCCCUGCGCCAGCCAGCCCCCCGCCCUGGGGCAGGACCAUAGCCAGAGUUGUGUCUGUCAUUCUGUAUGUUGCAUAUUUAGCUCUUCAUUGGGAUUUUUAUGGGUGGUGUGUGGGUGUGACUUUUGUUGUGUGCACUGAGUGACAAUAAAUAAAUAAAUAAA